UCUUUAUCUAAAUGAUCUUAAUCAGAAGCCGUGAGUCAAAGAGAAAGGAAUAGCCCUACAGAGAAGUACUAAAGGCGAAGAUAGAGAUAAAAAAUAUGGUUAUUUAAAAAUGUUAUCCCAUCCUGUACAAGUCAGUGCAGGAUGAGAAAGACCUGACUUGUGUGGAUACUUUCUAUGAAAAUAACUUGAGGGGUCUGAGUUGCCCACAAAUCUAAUAUGAUAGCACACAUUAUAGAAAUUUCUAACAAACUAGCCUCAUUUUGUCUCUUUUUCUCUUUAGUAAAGCACAGUGGAGCAAUUCUUUUCCCUGUUUGAAUGAAAUCUUGGUCCAGCUUAUAACUUCACUAGUUACACUUAGCUGGUCAUCCUGCAGUCACUUUAAAUCACAAACACCAUCUAAUUUAUAAUGUAAAACAUCCAUUAUUGUGUUAUAAUCAACAGUUGGAGCCUGAUUUAAAGUGGAAACACUCCUGCCUCCUCACUUCCAAUGGCCGGAGCCUGUCUUUGGUAGGCUGUUUGCAGCAGGAAAGAGAAGCAAAAGAAGGAAGAGUCAUGGAAGGAGAUAAGGAUCCUUGUGAGGCUCAAAUGAGACAACAAGUGGACAUAACAAAAGCAGAGCUGAUGUAAUUAAUGAAAAAAAGAUGGCUAUUUGAAAUAGUGAAGGCUAUGAACAACAGGAUGGAAUGGAAAUGAAGUCCACAUUUAGGGACAAUUCAUUAUUUAUCUGCUGUACUUUUUAUGCACACCGUGUUCUGCUAAUUCUCUCUCCUGGGAGAAGACCAAACCCGGUUAGUAAGUGAUACAAGCAUGAGUAGUUAGAAGCUAUGGUAUAAACCGCGGGCAGAUGGAGCUAUUCCUUGAAUAUCAAUUAGCAUAGUCCAACCAACUUGAAGACUCUUAGAAUUGAAUACUUCAACUUAAUGGAUCUGUUUUCAAAUUCCCUUUAAUGGCCCUUCUGUGACCAUAAUAUCUACUUUUCCAGACAUCCUAAGUAGAAACUAUUAUGGACAAUGUAUGUCAAAUUCCCUAAGGAUAGCAUAUGGAGGGGAGAAUGUGAGUUGCCAAAUUUAGCAGCUCUGGAGAGAGUGUUUUUGAAUUAAACUUGAAUCUAUGGGGAUUACAGUUCAUUUAUGACUGACAAAACAUAUCUUCCCAAUUCUGAAAGAUAAAUCCCACCGAUAUACAUGUGGAUUUCACAGGGUUUCUCAAAAACUAGAAGGAAAAAAAAAACCCUUUCCACAAAAUGCAGUUUUAUAACGAUUUUGGAUUUAUGAUGUCACAUGUUCUUUUUGCAGCUUUCCUCGGGUUAAAUGAGGAAUUUUCUAAGUACUGUGCCAACUGUACUUACCACCUGAGGAAGCUCAAAUCGGAAGAUUCAUCCCUUACAUAUUAGAAUAAGAGCUCUGCUUUUGAAAGAAGAGAAUUGAACACUGAAAUGCAGUGGC